AUUGAACGCUGGCGGCAGGCCUAACACAUGCAAGUCGGACGUGCGGCAGACGGGUGAGUAAUGUCUGGGACUGUGCCUGAGAGAGGGGUAAACCUAGUGGAAACGGUAGAUAACAGCGUAUACCAGCAGUUGCCCCCAUAGGGGAUGAGCUUGUAGGUGAGGUCACGGCUCACCUAGGCGACGACCCCUAGCUGGUCUGAGAGGAUGAUCAGCCACACUGGGACUGAGACACGGCCCAGACUCCUACGGGAGGCAGCAGUGGGGAAUAUUGCACAAUGGGCGCAAGCCUGAUGCAGCCAUGCCGCGUGUAUGAAGAAGGCCUUCGGGUUGUAAAGUACUUUCAGUCGGGAGGCGUUACCGGCAGAAGAAGCACCGGCUAACUCCGUGCCAGCAGCCGCGGUAAUAC
rnacentral:rRNA from 1 species